UUACACUUCAAUGUUGUGAUGCAAAAAUACUAGCGAAAUGCAUAGCACUCGGAAUUAAAAAGGUUUUUACCAGGUAUUGUUCAUCCUGAUCAGACAUUAUUUUUUAUAUGGACGAUCCAUUGGAGAUAAUAUACGACAAAUACUAGAAAUAAUAGAACAUCAUGAAACAUCUAAGAAGCCAGGCCAGGUAUUUAUAGCGGAUUUUGAAAGGGCAUUUGAUUCGGUGAUUCACUUAUAAAAUGGAUAAAAAAUAACGUAUAGCAACCCCAGGUGUAAAAUAGUAAAUAACGGCUACUUCUCAGAGAGCUUUGAAUUGUCAAGAGGAGUUAAACAAGGGUGUCCGCUGUCACCAUAUCUAGUCGUUAUGGCCAUAGAAAUGCUAGCUAUUAUUAUCAGAUCCAAUAACAACAUUAGAGGAAUAGAAAUACAAGGCUUAAAAACAAAAGUGGCCAUGUAUGCCGAUGACUCAAGUUUUAUAUUAAGUCCGCAAGUUAGAUCCCUGCAAUGUCUCAUUGAAUAUCUAGAUACGUUUUCUGGACUCUCUGUAUAGGUGUACAAUAUUACAUAUUGGAUCUUUAAAAAAUACAACAUUUACAUUACACAGUAGUUUACCAAAAAAAAUGGUCUGAUGGUGAAGUAGACAUACUUGGUAUUCAUAUCACAAAAUAUAUAAAUAAGCUCUCCACAAUGAAUUUCAAUAGAAAACGUGUAAAAUUAGACAAGAUCCUGCAACCAUGGAGAGGUAAAUACCUGUCUAUUUAUGGAAAAAUUUACCUGAUUAACUCCUUAGUCAUAUCUCAGUUUAUACUCACUUACUUAUGGUUUUUCAAAUCAUAUGAGCAAAACAUAUUUUGCUUUAUCUAGGAUGCUAAACCAGACAAAAUAAACCGUGCCUAUCUAUAUAAUGAAUAUGAAUUGGGUGGGUUGAAAUUAUUAAAUAUAAAAGCACUAAACUCUCUCUAAAAGCUUUGCUUAUUCAAAAGUUUUACUUGAACCCUAAAUGGUUCUCAAGUAGAUUACUACGAAAAUGUCACGACUUCCACCGAAGUCGGCUCCUCUCCUUGUUCUGGCGGCGUUCGGCGAUCGACGUCACCGGCUUUCUAGCCAUCGCCGCUCCAUUUCUCAUAUAUCCAUUUGUUUUGUCUUGUUCCAUUACACACCUGGUUUUCAUUACAAAAUUGCUGCAUGUAUUUAGUCCUCUGUUCCCCACCAUGUCUUUGUGUGUAAUUGUUUAUUGUUAUGUGGAUUUUUGUCAGGCUACUAUACUUUUGCUAUGUUCCGUGUUUUUGGCACGUUAUUGUUCUUAUAUGUUGUCAUUUUUGGACCGGAAUUAAAGGGCGCCUGUUUAUUACACUCUGCUCUCCUGCACCUGACUUUGCUUCCCGUAAACACCCCUGACAUUGUUUAAAAAUGGCCUUUUGCCUUUGUGCAGAUUGCCAUGUCUAAUUUCAGAUUAAUUGAAAAUUACACUUUUUUCAAAGCAUCUCUCUUUUUCAAACAAGCAUUGCAGAGCUGGCUACAAUCUCAAUUUCAUCAUUGGGAUGUGGAAUUGGAGACAAGAGGGAGUGGAGUUGCUGUGUGGGAGAUAGAAUGAUGGUCACAGAUAAAAGUCAAAAAUAAAGUCAAAAUAAAACAUAAUAAAAAAUAUGUUUAAAUGAUACCGAGGGGCAGUGUUUUUACAGCUAAUGCCGGUUUGCCUGAGGUUGAUGUCGUGCAGGUGUUUGUACACAUGCAUAUACACACACUCUCAUUCAAAUAAACGCAUACAAGAACACACACAUACAUGUAAUAGUGCCAGAAAUGCACACAAACAUAUACAGUUGGUAUUGAUGUUAUGAUUUUAGUCCUUGAGGUCCUUUGUUUUGUUAUUUGUUUUUGGUUUGCUGUUUUCUUCUGUCUUUUUCUUUGUCUCUUUAGGUCAUUCUCUUGGUUGUUGGUGCGUUGGGGGGUUUGCUGUUUUCUUCUGUCUCUUUCUUUGUCUCUUUAGGUCAUUCUCUUGGUUGUUGGUGCGUUGGGGGGUUUGCUGUUUUCUUCUGUCUCUUUCUUUGUCUCUUUAGGUCAUUAUCUUGGUUGUUGGUGCGUUGGGGGUUUGCAGUUUUCUUCUGUCUCUUUCUUUGUCUCUUUAGGUCAUUCUCUUGGUUGUUGGUGCGUUGGGGGUUUGCUGUUUUCUUCUGUCUCUUUCUUUGUCUCUAGGUCAUUCUCUUGGCUGUUGGUGCGUUGGGGGGUUUGCUGUUUUCUUCUGUCUCUUUCUUUGUCUCUUUAGGUCAUUCUCUUGGUUGUUGGUGCGUUGGGGGGUUCUUGGGGGAGGGGAUUUUAUUUAUUUUUCUUGAUGGGGGAGGGGGGACUGUGGGAGGGGUCUCGAAUUGGUGAGGGACAGCUAUUGGGGAACUGUGGGGGGGAUCUUGGAGGGUUCAGGAUCACGUUGUUUGGCCUGGUGGGAGAUCUGUCAACGUGCCCUUGAGCAGGGUAUUGACACUGGAUGCUUCUGUGUGUCGCUCUGAAUGGGAGUCUAUUGGAUGACUGGUGUGGUGUAGUUGUUGAGCAGCUUCACUGCAAGUAUAUUGUAUGUUUCUGAUAUUCAAAACAUGUUUUUUUUAAGUAGCCAAUAGGCAGAGGGUAGCACAAUUUGUCUGAUUCUCUGUAAUAAUGGUAUGAGAAUAAUAAAGUGGUUUCUUGCAUCAAACACAACAACAUUUUCAGUCAACUCCUUGUCGGAAGGACAAGUGGAUAAACAAGUUCAUUUUAAGCCCUGCAUGUUUUCUUUCCAAAAGCACACAUUGGCUGCUACUGUAGGCUGAAUGAUAGAACAGCUAUUUCCAUACUAAACUGUUAAGGGAUGCAUUUUCUCCAUUGUUUUUGAUGGUAGGCCACUCUGGAAGGCCUGUAUUAUGAUCAAUUAGCCAUAGUAGCCUACUUGACCACUGUUAAAACUAACUUAAAGCGGGUACAGCCUCAGUGUUCACAGUAAACGCACGCCGGAAGUUGCAUAACAUUUUCACAAUGUUCCUGAGUGGCUGAGUUACCGUUUUGACUUAAAUCUGCUUGAAAAUAUAUGGCAAGACUUGAAAAGGGUUGUCUAGCAAUGAUCUACAACCAAUUUGACAGAGCUGGAAGAAUUUUUAAAAUAAUAAAUGGGCAAAUAUUGUACAAUCCAAGUGUGCAAAGCUGAAUACUUAUGUAAAUUACAUAUUUCUGUAUUUCAUUUUCAAAAAAUUUAAAACAUGUUUUCCCUUUUCAUUAUGGGGUAUUUAAACAGUACCGGCACUCAAAAUGAGCACCGGUACAUAUUUCAGUCCCAGUCAAGCACUGGUGAUACCACAGCUACAGAUAGUAUUGUUGUGAUUAGGAGCAACCAACCAACACACCACUGACUGUACUAACCCAGAGCUAAGACCCAUGCAACACACACAUGCAGUCAGAAAGACUAUUCUCCUGAG